ACAACAUUCCACACACAGCUGCGCUCCUCACCGCUAAUCUCGUCUCCGAUGCUCCACCACCACCUUCGUUUCUCAUCUUCGACAGUUCUUCCUCUCGUCCUUCAAAAUCAACAUUGUCUGAGCUGAAUCUCCAAGCUAUCGUCUGAACCAGAACCAAGAGUCCAAGACCUCCCACCUCGUUAUUGGAAUCGACGUUCUUGAAACCAGCGACACCACCAUCGUUCUUGUAAUGUAAUAAUGGGAGAAAGGUAGAAAACAAAAUCAAGGCUUUUUAGACUUCAGAACUUCAAGGAGGAUAUUUCUAUCUGGUUUGGCCUUCUUCUUCGAACCCUUCUAGGUUAGCAGGGCUGUAGCCUGCCUUCAUUUCUUUAAAUCGCCGUUUACACCAGCUUCCACGCAUAAGACUUGCGAAUAAUAUGAUUUCCCUUGCAAUAUUCGACUGUACCUAAUGAUUAUGGUAGAAUAUCACAAUCCUUUCAUAGUAUUGUUCGCGGUGCUGGAGAAGUUGAAAAUGACAUUAGUCUUCCUUGCAACUGUUAUUGCUUCAAGAUGCCUCUAGUGAGUCAAUUAGAAGUUUCUGAAAUCUGCUAAGUAUUACAAGUUGGGGAUGAUGGGCGGUAAAACCUUGAUGAAAUGGCCAAAACAAAUUACAACUAGUCUAGUUGAGCAGCUAAUAAAAGCAGAAAGGGACAUACAUAAAGCUCUUAUGAUAUUUGAUUCCGCAACGGCUGAAUAUAAUAAUGGGUUCCGUCAUGAUCAAAAUACUUUUGGUCUCAUGAUCUCUAGGUUAGUCUCUGUGAACCAGUUCAGAUCAGCCGAAGGGAUGCUUCACAGAAUGAAGGAAGAAAAUUGUGAGUUAACAGAAGACAUAUUAUUAACCAUUUGCAGAGCUUAUGGACGUGUUCAUAGGCCUCUUGAUGCCGUCAGGAUUUUCCGUGGGAUGGCAGACUUUCAGUUAAAACCCACCCAAAGAUCUUAUAUUACAAUAUUUGAUAUCCUAGUAGAGGAAAAUCAUCUAAAGAUGGCUCUUAGUAUUUAUAGGGAGAUGAGAGAAAUGGGCAUUCCACGGAGUGUUGUUUCUCUAAAUAUUUUAAUCAAAGCCUUAUGCAUGAACAAUAGAACAAUUGAUGCUGCUUUACGGAUAUUUCGUGAGAUGCCAAAUCGAAGAUUCCUGCCAGAUUCUUAUACAUACGGUACUUUGAUUAAUGGGCUUUGUAGACUUGGAAAAAUGAACGAGGCAAAGGAAUUAUUCCAUGAGAUGAGGCAGAAAUGUCUUACACCUUCUGUUGUUACCUAUACUUGUUUGAUGCAUGGAAUGUGUCGGUCUAAUAAUGUGGAUGAAGCAAUGAAAUUGCUUGAAGAGAUGAAAAGAGUUGGCAUUGAGCCAAAUGUUUUUACUUACAGUUCUGUAAUGGAUGGUUUAUGUAAAGGUGGUCAGUCUUUUAAAGCAAAGGAGCUGUUAGACACGAUGGUUAAGAAACAUCUUUUGCCCAACACAGUUACUUAUAGUACAUUAAUUCAUGGACUGUGCAAUGAAGGGAUGCUUAGUGAAGCUGUAGAGCUUCUUGACAGGAUGAGGCUUCAAGGCUUGAAGCCAGAUGCAGGGCUGUAUGGGAAAAUCAUUAGUGGUUUCUGUGCUACAUGCAGCUAUCAAGAAGCUGCAAACUUCAUUGAUGAGAUGGUGCUUGGUGGUGUCUCACCAAACCGAGUAACUUGGGUCCGUCAUGUGAAAAUCCAUAACAUGGUGGUCCAAGGCCUCUGCAGUAAUGUUGACCCAACACGUGCAUUUCAGUUGUAUCUUAGCAUGCGUACUAGGGGUAUCUCUGUUGAAGCUGGAACUUUUGAAUGUUUAAUUAAAUGCUAUAGUAAAAAAGGAGACCAGCACAAAACUGCUCGGAUUCUUGAUGAGAUGGUGUUAGAUGGUUGUGUUCCAGAUGAGGGAAUCUGGAAUGCAGUGAUGAGUGGACUUUGGGAUCGUAAAAAGGUGAGAGAAGCUACUGAGCUACUGCUGGCUGAGCUGAUGCAUAAAUUAUUUGAACCUCAGAGUUGAAUAUUUAUAAAUUAUCGGUAUGUGCUGCAUUCACAUAAAACCUUUAACAAUCUCCUUUCCUUCCCUUCUGUUAUUAACAUUACCUAGACAUCAAUUAAAAGGUAUGAAAAGUGCAUGCACAGAGAGCUUGUUAAUCAUCUUCAUGACCUGUAAUGUUUGGGCUAAGCCUGCUGAAGGCAUUAUUUUUUAUAUGCGUGAUGAUUUUGAUCCCAAUCAUUAACUCCUAAUGCAAUGAUUCAAUUGCAUAAUUCUAUUCUUCGCAAGCUAUGAUAUGCAUCUAGCGGUCGUAAAAUUUUUGAAAUUAUAUACAAAUCCAUAUUUUCCUGUUUAAUUAUUUGAUUGUGAUUUUAAAGGUUAUUCUUCUUACAAGGCGCCAACUUGCAUAAUUUUGACCAAUCAAAUCUCUUCAUGACCUAAGCUGACUGUAUCUACUUCAUUCUUAUUGACCAUACACUGCAUCCAUUUCAACUCCUGGAUCUGUUUUUUCUCCUCUCCAAUGGUUAACAUUCUCUGAUGAUUAGACCCUUCAUCAAGAAAUAAAGUGUCACAUUAUGGAAGUAGGCUUGCAAGACUUUCAAAUUGGCUUUCCCCUAUAACUGACUCUACCGUAUAGGCUCACUCUUUUCUUUGCAGAAACUUUCUCCUUUUUCCCCACCUCCUUAAAAACUCUGAUGAUGAACCUGUUUGGUGGAAAGUAUUUGCUAGAGUUUUUGGCAAGAUAAGCUUGAUUAUUUGUGUGGUUAUUUGUUUCAUUCAAACCCCUUACUUAUGAUUGUAGUUCUUUGUCAAUGCACUGUAAACUUGUCAGUCCAGUGCUGUAAAUUUCCUAAAUUAAAGCAUGCAUUUUUCACCCUUGUUCAUUUAUUCAAUUUUCACAUUUGUUGAAGCUUUUUAUUUUCAGCUUUCUAUUUCUUUGGCCUAAGGGAUUUUGUUUUAUCAUUAUGUUGAAUUUAGGAUUCACAUGAUAUUUUUAAAUAGUAAUGUUGUAUUCAUUCAGCCAAAAAAAACAAAAAUUGUAGAGGUCAACUAUUCCUGCUAGAUGAGACAAUAAAUGUCACUCCCAAAGCAUGACCAACAAUGUGCACAUGAUGAGAGAGAGAGAGAUUGAAUAAAUUGAUUUGCCAAGUGUUCAUUUACUGCUUCAGUAACAUGUCUUUGGGUGGAUAACAUGUGAAAUAAAAUCACGAGGUAGAUGACCAUAUCUAUUCAUAUGUUCUCCCAUUCAGUUUUUGUCAUCUUCAUCUAUAUUGAUCUUCUUUUGGUGGGGGGAAAAAAGUCUCUGUUGAUCUACUUUGCAAAUGAGUAUUGGGUGGUACUUAGGGCUAGGAGGUAUGGAUUCUCUCCUCACACACAAUCUAACACCUUUACACGCACAGUGGAUUGCCAGACCCAUCUCAGCUUUGCAGGCUGUCCUUUGUAUUUUAAAUGGUUUCUCAAGGAAAAAAUUUGAUGUUGACUCCUUUUUUCAUCUUGUUUUCAUUGUGAAAAGUAAAUUUUUUCCCAAUCUUUGCAGUACUGGAAAGGAGAGCAAAUAGCCUGAUUAUGGUGAUUUGCAAGCACUUUGGCAUAUCUGUUAGUUUUACUGUUCUAGAGGUUCACCUCCUUUCUCUACAAAAAAAGAAGUUUCCUUUAGAAAACACCCAGAUAAUUAAUUUGUUGGAUCUGCUGUUGUGAAGCUGAAUCACAGUUUCAAAUUGAAGGAGAGUAUUAAUUGGUACCUGCAUAAGGCCUUUGCUUGGUUCUUUAUUACUGGUAAUUUCUCGUAGUAACUUACAUGCUCUCAGCUUUCUCUGUGCAGAUGACAUAUCUUCCUUCUCGCUGCAGGUAAGAUAUUUUCCUUCUGGUUGCCAAUUCAUAAUUUCCUCUUGCUUGACCUGAAAUACAUAGUAUAUUAAUAUACUAUCUCUAUACCAUCCCAUUCCUCUUUUUCUGUAUUCCAAAACAUCCAGGCCACAUACGCUUUCUGAAACUCAUCCAGAACCUCAGAACUGAACAUCUUUUUCACACACCACUGAUCAAAAUUCUGCACAUUCUCUCUAUCCACUCUUGGAGCCAACAAACAGCCAUACCAUGCAUGCUUUAUUGGCCCAUGGGUGCAAGAAAAUCAUAUGCUCCAGAGUUUCAUCCUUCUCUCCGCACACAGGAUCAAGAGCUAACCUGCAACAUCUCCUUUUCCUCAACUCAUCCUUGGUUUGUACAGCUCUCUUCAAACACCUCCAUGGAAAGUGUAGAACCUUUGGCAAAGCUCCGAUCUUCCAAAUCUUACCCCAUAGCUCUUUUGGAAAGCAAAAGUGUUCUUGCCCUUUUAUUAAUGAUAUUCUUUGUACCCAUCUCUUGACGCUACCAUCUCCUCAAAGAAUGACAGCCAUCUUUAGCCACUGACCACAUCACCUUGUCUUCUCUUUCAGUCUUUGAGAUGGAAUUCUUUCAAUCUUCUCAAUAAACUCAAUUGCAAAUAAUCCCACCAUCUCCCCCAAUUUCCAUCUUCCUCUAUCAAUAAGCAAAUCCACCCUACACUCCUUCAAGGGGUUAGUUAUGUUGAUUAUAUGACACCAUUGUGUUUUAUCUUUUAUUAAGCUUUUAAAAAUAUUAUUAAUUAAGAAAUUUUACUCAACAACUUUCAAAAGUGUUUUCUUUAGUCUUCCUCUACCAUUCUUGACAGGGCUUAAAAUCAUCUAUUCCACUUUCCUCACAAGUGCCUCCCUUGGUCGUCUUUGUUCAUGUUCAAAUCAUCUCAAAUGAUUUUCUACCAUUUUUCCUUCAAUAGAUGCAAAGCCCACUUUUUCUUGCAUUCACUCAUUUCGAAUUUUGUCUUUACGUGUAUGUCCACACAUCUAUGUCAACAUUCUCAUUUUUACUACUCUAACUUUAUGCUCUUAUUGUCCCGUCAAAGCCCAACAUUUGCUAUUAUAUAAUAUUGCUGGUCUUCUAGCCGUUCGAUAAAACUUUCCUUUAAGUUUAUUAGGUACCUUUCGAUCGCAUAUAACUCCUUUAGCUUUUUUCCAAUUAAACCAUCCAACUUGUAUCCUAAGUGUAAUAUCUCCAUCAAUUUUCCUAUUAUGUUGAACAAUCGUUCUCAAAUAUUUAAAUUUUUUCACUUGAAGUAUGAUUUGAUCACCCAAUUUCACUUCUAAGUUACUACUCACUGACCUUUUAUCAAAAUUACAAUGUAGAUAUUUUGUUUCACUCUUACUCAGGCAGAAACCUUUUGACUCCAAUGUCCUCCUCCAUAACUCAAGUUUACAAUUAAUUUCUUUUCUUGUCUCUGCAACAAGAACUAUAUUAUUUACAAAAAGCAUGCAUUUAAGAAUUUUCUCUUGAAUAUGCUCAGUCAAAAUAUCUAAGACUAGAUCAAACAAAUAAGAAUUCAAAGAUAAUCCUUGAUGUAAUUCAAUCUUUAUAGGAAAGUCUUUUAUUUCGCCAUCAAACAUUCUUAUACUAGUUGUUGCCUCUCAUACAUAUCUUGUAUAACUCAAAUAUAGGCAAUCCGAACACCUUUCUUUUCUAAUGCCUUCCAAAGUACUUUUCUUGGAGCACGGUCAAAAGUUUUUUCUAAAUCAGUGAAAAUCAUACGUAAAUCUUUACUUUUGCAUUAAUACUUUUUCAUUAAUCCCCUUAGUAGAUAAAUCGCUUCUGUAGUCUCCCUCCAUGACAUGAAGUUGAAUUGAUUCUUGGAAAUACUAGUUUCUAAUUUCAACCUAUGUUCUAUCACUCUUUCUCAUAAUUUCAUAGUAUGAUUCAUAAGCUUAAUCCCUGCACAAUUCUGAAUAUUUCCUUUAUUUUUGUAAAUAGAACCUAAGGUGUUUCUCCUUCAAUCGUCAGGCAUUCUUUUAGAUUGUAAGAUCUCAUUAAAUAACUUAGUUAACCACCGUAUUCCUUCUUCAUCCAAACAUUUUUACAUUUCAAUAGGGAUACAAUUAGGUUCAUUGACUCUCCCAUUUGCUCUUUUUUUAAGAGCUUUUCUCAUUUCCCAAGCGUGUAUUCUUUGAUAAAAUGACAAAUUUCACUUUCUUUCAAGUUACUAAAUCUUUCAAGUUAAUUGACGAACCUCCGUCAUCAUUAAAAAGUUUAGAAAGUAUGUUUCUCAUAUAUCUUUAAUAUCAUUAUUUGUGAUCAAAACACUUUCCUCUUUAUCUUUUUUACAUCUUACUUGUUCCAAAUCUUUUGAUUUUCUUUCCUUACUCUUAACAAUCUUAUAAAUUUUUCGUUCUCCUUAGUUUGUCCCAAGACUAUUAUAAAACUCUUCAAAUGCUUUAGAACGAGUUUCACUUAUGGCCUUCUUAGUUUUCAUUUUAGCCAUACGAUAUGUUUCUCAAUUUUCAUCAUUAUUGCACAAAUGGAUGGCUUUAAAACACUCCUUAUACUUGAUUUUUUCAUGUACGCUAUCAUUCCACCAUCAAGACUUUUUAUCUUUCGGACCAAAACCUCUUGAUUCUCCCAAAACUGCUUUUGCAACCUUCUUUACCUUCACAACCAAGUUCUCCCACAAGAUGUUAGUACUUCUUUAAGACUCCCAAAUUUCUUCAACCGAGAGAUUUCUCUUAAAAAUUUUUCUCUUUUCACCUUUUAAUUGCCAUCACCUGAUCCUUGGAGUUAUUACUUGUUUAACUUUUGAUUUUUACUCACAAUACACACAUUAAGGACAAGGAUCCUGUGUUGUGUCAUUACAGCAUUUUUAGGAAUCACCUUACAAUUUUUACAAAGUCUCCUAUAUGCUUUCUUUGCCAAAAGAAAAAAAAAAAAAAACAAUCUGUGACCUUGAAGCUCUAUUUUUAUAAGUGAUGAGAUGCUUAUCCCUCUUUUUGAAACAAGCAUUAGCAAUCUUGAAAUUAUAUGCCAAAGAGAAAUCAAGGGUAGAUUGUCUUUCAUUAUUUAGCUCUCCAAAAUUCAAACCACCAUGCACCUGAGGAAUUUGCAUCGGCUGAGAUGAAUUCCCUUCUAGGUCAAGAAACCAUCUGUCUUUCCAUAUAUUUACUUCACUUCCUAUCCUGAUCCUCCAAAUUAGUCUCAUUUUCAAUGCACUUUCUUCCACUCCUCCAACAGUUCAAUCCUACAUCUGUCCAUGUUUCAACGUCUCUUUGAAAUUGAUAUGAUCACAUUCAAACGAUGAUUGACAAAAUAUCUGGGACUAACUAGAUGGUUAGAUUCUAGUUGAAUAUGUAGAAAGUGGAAACCAUUGGAGUAAAUAACACAAGUCUCUGUAUAAAAUUGACACAACCAAAGUUUAGAAAGAAAUUGAGAAAAUCCAUUGAGGUGUGCUAGGGAUCAAGGGAGAUGGAGAUCAUAGGAAUUAAGGGAAAAGGGGAUCUUGAAAGAUAACUUAUAUAUGGAAGUAGGAUAUAAGUAUAACUUGAUAAGGUAUAGAGUUAGAAUGACAUAUAAGAUGGUUGAUAUGUAGGUGGCUCCCUCUGUAAGCAAGCCAAAGGUGAAAAUUAGAUUAUUAAAGAAUAAUAUAACUAUCAUAUAUAAACAAAGAAAUUAGUAUGUGGAGGGAACAAGUCUGAUAUUUCAAUAGGUAAUUAUAGUAUAGAAGAAGACAAUUGUGGUUAUAUUAAAGGAUUGCAGCUUGUAUAGAUUUAUCAUUUAAAUUAUGUAAUCAAACUUUUUACCAUAUGAAGUUGAACUUAAAAUUCAACUUCUUGGAUUAUUUGAUUAGAGUAUGGGAUUCUAAUAUAGGAUUUAUCGAAACUUAGAUUCUCCGACCUUGUAGGCUUACUAUCUCAUAUGCAGUUUUCUCAAAUAUUCAUAGAACAAGCCUUUUGAAUGAGUCCUUUGGACUUGCACGCAAAUUUCAAGUUUCAAAUUUCAUGAAGAUUUCGAAUUCCAAUGAUUCCUUGUAUAGUUGAUUUGUCGAUCUUGAUCUUCCAUGAAAUCAAUGACAUUGAAUUUUUUUAAUGACAGGUUAUAUCAGAAGGUCCAAUAUUCUAUACUCUAUAAUGCAUUCUAUAAUGUACAAAUCUUUUGACUCAUUGUAUAAUUUGUUCCAAACAAAAAAAUCCAUAAAAUAGCUGUGGUUCUGAUUUCAAUAACCUGUCAAAUUCCUGAAUGUGCUCCAAGGGCAAGUGAUACAAAGAUACAAAAAAGAACUCAAAACUUAUUAGUUUGUGGAAAGGGGGAAGCCAAUUCCAUGUCUGUGUGUUGGAAAUACAACAAACAACAUGCUGCAAAUAACGCCUAUGCCCACAGGCAAUGAUGUGAGGACCUCCUGUGUCUGGUUUGAUGGUUCCGGAAAGAAGCAGUUGACCACAUUCUGAUCAAACAUCGCAAUUGCAGCAAAUACUAGUACUGACAUUACUGCAUGCAUGAAAUCUAUAAACCUCAGGCGAUAUUUUGCAGCAAGUUCAAGUGGAAGUGUGGUUGAUCCAUCGAUAACCCACAAGCCAUUGAAAGUGGCAAAGCCAUAACAUAUGUUUCCCUUGUAGUCUCUGAAGCUAUCGGUGAAGCAUAGCAAGAAGCACGAGGCUCCACAGAGAGCUACAAGUCCUGCAGUCAUGAACCGGCUCACUGAGUCACAUAUUCCUAGAUUUGUGAAGAUUGGUGACAGAAGCUGGAAAGCAAGUACCGAGCCUGUAGGCAGAAGAUUCGCCAAAUGAGCUGAGCUCUGAAAUGUCUGGUUCAUGGCUUUCUGAAUCAGGCUCCUCUCAGCUUCUGGCACCGCCAUGUUUAACAGAAGUGGGUGCUUUUCUUCAUCAUGCUCUUUGGAAUCACCAAGUCUGAGUUUCAUCCCCAUCUCUUGCAGGGCCUUGUUUUUUUUUUUUUUUUUUGUUUUUUUUUUUGGGUCUUUGUGUUUGCUCUGCUCUGAUCUUGUCACCUUUAUUCUGCAACGUAGGUUUGUUAAAAAAGCGUCUCUAUAUAGUUAGGGCUAAGAUGAGCAAUGGAGGUAAAGCUAAAGAGAGAGAGUAUGAAGGCUUGUCAUGCCUUGCAAGAAACAAACUGAAAACUUGAUGAACUCAGCGUUCACUAGAAUCUUGUUUUGUGGUUGAGUUCAUCGUGCCUUGCAAGUUAUGUUGCUCAUGUAAGGAUACCAGAACUUGCCAGAUAUGAUGAUUUUCUCAAAAUAUAAAGCAUGGGCAUGAUAUAACAUUAUUGUUUUUGUCA